GGGGAUGACUCGAUCGACGGGAUGGCACUUUAAAAACUGCAAGCCGAGAUGAUUGCUCUCGUAAAAUCAAUCAAAACAUAAAUGCUGAUGAAACCAUUAGCGAACUAGAGGCUAAAGUUAAAGCGGCGGAAGCCAAAUUAGCUGCGCUUUUUAGUGCUCGACAGCUUGCUUUGCAAGUUGCCUAAAGCCAUUUGUAAUCAUCUUUUUCCGAUGGGAUGUUACAAGUGUAAACACAGUCGGGAUGCUAGUAAGAGAGGUUGAUCUUCUUUCUUAUUUUAAGAUGAUAGAUCUAGAAAAGAUUUUCUUGUCAGUUCGAUCGAUCUUUUCAAAAAUAAAGAAUUGACUACGCUUGUAGACGUUUUUAUUCUGCUUUUUCGGACGGGAGUUCAACACUCCCCAUCUCCACAU
rnacentral:tmRNA from 1 species